CUGCUACUCCCCCCGUUCGGAAUUACUCGUCCAAAAAAUGAAUGUAUCUAGAUGUAUUUUACUUGUAGAUACAUCCAUUUUUGUGACAAGUAAUUCCGAACGGAAGGAGUAUGCC
rfam:Triticum urartu cultivar G1812 contig757412, whole genome shotgun sequence.